UUCCGGUUGAUCCCGCCGGAGGCUACCGCUAUUGGAGUUCGAUUAAGCCAUGCGAGUCGCGAGAAAUUAGAUUCUCGGCGUACCGCUCAGUAACACGUGGGUAACCUGCCCUAUGCUGGAUAAUAACCUCGGGAAACUGAGAAUAAUGAUCCAUAGUUCACUACGCCUGGAACGGUGAGUGGAUGAAAGCUCCGGCGGCAUAGGAUGGGCCUGCGGCGUAUCAGGUUGUAGGGGGUGUAACGUACCCUCUAGCCCUCUACGCGUACGGGUGUUGGGAGACAUAGCCCGGAGAUGGAUUCUGAGACACGAAUCCAGACCCUACGGGGUGCAGCAGGCGCGAAAACUUGGCAAUGCGAGAAAUCGUGACCAGGGAACUCCAAGUGCAUCGGGUAAGACCGGUGCUUUUCUUGACUCUAAAUAGGUCUUGGAAUAAGGGGUGGGUAAGGACGGUGCCAGCCGCCGCGGUAAUACCGGCGCCUCAAGUGGUAGUCGCUUUUAUUGGGCCUAAAACGUCCGUAGCCGGUCUGAUACAUUCGUGGGUAAAUCAACCAGCUCAACUGGUUGAAUUCUGCGAGGACGGUCAGACUUGGGACCGGGAGAGGUGUGGGGUACGCUCAGGGUAGGGGUAAAAUCCUGUCAUCCUGAGCGGACCACCUGUUGCGAAGGCGCCACACUAGAACGGAUCCGACGGUCAGGGACGAAGCCUAGGGGCACGAACCGGAUUAGAUACCCGGGUAGUCCUAGUGUAAACGCUGUGGACUUGAUGUUGGGGGUGCUCCGA
rnacentral:rRNA from 1 species